UUAGGUCUGAUCGAUUGAAAUCGCAUCAUGUACAACGUGAAUAUAAAAAGGAGUAUGUGUGUGAUCAAUGCGGGAAAUGUUUCAGUUCGUACUAUUUAAAACGGCAACAUGCACAACGUGAACAUAAAAAGGAGUAUCAUGUGUGUGAUCAGUGCGGGAAAUGUUUUAGUUCGUACUAUUUAAAACGGCAACAUGCACAACGUAAACAUAAAAAGGAGUAUGUGUGUGAUCAGUGCGAAAAAUG